rnacentral:rRNA from 1 species
GACGAACGCUGGCGGCGUGCUUAACACAUGCAAGUCGAACGGAAAGUCCCUGCUUUUGUGCGGUCCUCGACUGGCGAACGGGUGAGCAACACUUGAGUAAGCUGUCCCUGCCUGUGGGGUAACCUCAGGACACUUGGGCUAAUACCGGAUAGGAUCUCUCGCUGCUUGGUGGGGGUGGGAUGGUUUCGGCGGUUGGGGAUGGACUCGCGUCGUAUGAGCUUGUUUGAGUGGUAGUGGCUUACCAAGGCUUGGCAGCGUAGCCGGGCUGAGAGGGUGACCGGCCACAUUGCGACUGAGCUACGGCACAGACUCGUAUGGUAGGCAGGAGUGGGGAAUAUUGUACAAUGGGCGGAGGCCUGAUGCAGCAAAGCCGCGUGCGGUAUGACGUGCUGCCGGUUGUAAACCGCUUUCGCCUGUGACGAAGCGUUAGUGACGGUACCGGGUAAAGAAGCACCGGCUAACUACGUG